CGGAAAAGUAAUCGAAAGAUAUUGUAUAGGGAUAUAUAUCGGAAAAACUCGCCGAGGGAUCUCGACUUUUAGAAAUUAUCGAUUAAAAGAAACAUUUAACAUGUCUAAUAUCGUGACAUUCGAAAAUAUGUGCAAAAGUCUCGCUAGAAGGAAGAGCAAAUGACAGAGAAGAUGAAGGAGAAAAUGAAAAAAGAAAGAAAAAAGAAAAAAAAAAGAAAAAAAAAUGGAAGAAGAAGAGGAGGAGAAGAAGCUGGAGAUGAUGAAGAAAAGAUUCCUCCAGAUCGGACACCCCUUAUCGUCGUGCACGCAUUACGAGCGGCGAUAACUGGUAAUCGGGUCGGUACAAGGAUGCAUUGUACGUGCCGUUAGAUUUACAACGUUCGCCUUUGACGUUUUUAUCUGCGACCGGCGAAAGAACGGCGUCUAUCGACGAUAGAGUUGAAACGAAGUAACGUGCUAGCUUCGGUUCAUCUAACUAUAUAUUUAUAUAUAUAUAUAUAUAUUAUUAUUAUUAUUAUUAUUUUUUCUUUUCUUUUUUUAAUUUCUCUUUUCACUUAUCUA